GUCCUCGUGGCGCAAAGGCAGCGCAUCGGACUUCUAAUCCGGGGGUUGUGGGUUCGAGUCCCACCGAGGACG